AGGCAACACUCCACAGAUUUCUCCAAAUGGUAGUUUAAGUUUACUGAACCAUGUCACUGAUCUGGGAUGAAGAGGAUGAAACUGUGUCUGCUGCCUUUACAGAGGGGGAUCCAGAAAGGCAUACAGAGAGCAUGGCUGGACAGCAGCAGGAUGGUUCCUCAGCUUCCACUGCACAGACUGACACAGUGAGAUGGAUGUUCAGGAAACACCAGAGCUUCAUUCUGUGGAAUUCAUGUGCAACUGUAUAAUUUAAUGUCCUCUAUGUAUUCCCAGUUAUCAGUAAAACAGAUUUACAAACUGCAUUUGCUGAGAAAAAUCCAAAAACAGAUUAGGAGGGCAGAUCUGGAAAUUGAAAUACUGGAGCACAAGUUAGAGGUGGUGAUGGUCACAGGUGAAUUAUGUUAACUACUGGAACAUGAACUGAACUAUCUGUUUAUUUGUAGGAAAUAAAGAAGAGCAAAUGAAAUGUGUAUCAUGUCUUUAUUUGCUGUGGUGGUGAUGAUGAUGGUGACUUAAACUCUAAAGUGAUUAUUGCAUACGGUGUCUCUGACUGCUCUGCUGUCCUGGAUAGCUGCAGGUGGAUGGGCUCAUCAUCUGGGUCUUCAGUUUGUAGGGCAGGGUGUUGCUCUC